UGUAAGUGUAUGUAUAAAUGAUGCUACAUAGGCUAUAUCUAAUUAAAUAUGCAGUAAUUUGCCUAUAUUUUGAAGCAAAGAAUCUGACCAUUGAAAAAAACAAGGUUCGAAAUGUUUGCAUUUUGUUGAUAAAAGACAUUUACAGAGGGGAUUAUGAAUAUCUCCUUUUGUUACCCAGUAAAUCAGAAAAUACUGCCAAUAGCCUUAAAAAUGGAUUUCCUCCCUAUUUUUAGGCAUAACAUGUCAAAUAAAUCAUGCCAAGAGGGAUAUAUCAACAACUCCCCCUAUGAAAAUCUUAUAAAUAGUUAGGAAUACCACUGUAAAGUUUGGUGUAUGUAGGUGCUACAGAAGUGGAAACACUUCGCCCAGCGUGUGAG